CUGGAACUACUGAUUUUGCUCUCUGCCAUAUUCUCUCUCCAUUGCUCUGUCUCAGUUUCACAAUAUCCCAGGCUGCAAAGCCAAGAGGAAUUCAACCCUGUAUGAUCUCAGCAGAUUAUCCUUACCAGGAAUGAGAAGAGUGUAUGUUUUCAUAGCCAGUUGGAAAGGGAGAUAUUUGGAUGGAGAGGUCUCUUCUACAUUUACCAUCUAGCUUCUGUUAUUUUUUGCCAAUUCAAGAAAGAAAGGUCCUUUCUUUCCCUUGUUUAUAAGUUCUAUGAAACCCUCUAGCAAGUAGAGCUGUUCUAAUGAUCAAGUUUGGAAUUUGAACUACCCAUAAAUCUGCAACAUUACAUAAGCUAAAAAAAAAAAAGCCUACUCUCCAAUGCGAAUGCUCCUACUACUCUACAUUUAAGUGGCCUCAUAGAGAAGGCACUCUGUUACUUCAGCACUAAUAAGCCAACAGACAUUGCAAUUAUGCUAUAAUGAAUCUGAAGCAAAACUAGAAAAAGUGGACUAUUUGCUGAAACUAGCCUCCAACAACAUAUGUUGAAUGACCAGUGCAGAGUUUGACAGACAUCGCAAGUACAAAUGUGAUUUCAAUAAGCAUAUAUAGGAAUGGGUCUGAAACAGGCAGUAAAAAAUGUUUUCUGUGUCCACAGGGACACAGGGAGGGGAACAUCACACGCCAGGGCCUGUCAGGGUAGGGGGCUAGGGGAGGGAUAGCAUUAGGAGAAAUACCUAAUGUAGACGACAGGUUGAUGGGUGCAGCAAACCACCAUGGCACAUGUAUACCUAUGUAACAAACCUGCACGUUCUGUACAUGUAUCUCAGAACUUUAAGUAUAUGUAUAUAUAUGAAUGCCUUCAGAAAUGCUAGGAAAUCAGUGGUGCCUGGAGACAGGCAAUUGGUGAUAACAUAGUUUCUGGAGAUUUCCUUCUUAUGCCUAAUUUAACAAAUCAUUAAAGGUACAUAGAACAAAAUCCAGCCUCCGUUUUGUCUGCAAAGAGCUAUGUAGAAUAUCAGAGCUCUAAGCAAAUAGAUCUGCUAUUUGUGUAAGUUUUUGACUACUGCAAAUAAAGCAGUCAUGAACGUUUGUGUACAGACCUUUUUGUAAGCUUGGAAUGGUUGGGUUCUAUGUUAGGUGCCUGAUUGUUCAAUUUUUCAGUAUUUGAGUUAUUUAAACUAUAUUUUAUUACUGAUUUCUAAUUUUAAAAAUUAUUUUGUAGUUAGAUAAUAUACUACUCUGUAUGACUUCAAUUCUUUUAGGUCUAUUGAGAUGUAUUUUAUGUCCUAGAAUAUGUUAUAUCUUCUUAAAUAUACCAUAUGCACUUGAAAAACAUGUUUAUUCUGCAGUUGUUGGAUGUAGCGUGCUCUAGUGUCAAUUAGACCAAGGUGAUUGAAGGUGUGGCUCAGAUCUGUAUUUACUGUUAUAUUUCCUAUUUUAUCUGUUUUUUUUAAAUCAAUUGAUGAGAGGUAGGUGCCAAAAUCUCCAACUGUAAUUUUACAAAUGUCCAUUUUCCCCAUCAAUUUUGUCAACUUCUGUUUUAUGUAUAUUGAGGAUAUAUUAUUUUGUGUAUCUCAUUUAUAAUUGUUACAUUUUCCUGAUGAAUUAUCUCUUUUUAAAUUACAGAAUAUUCCUCUUAUCUCUGUUAAUGCUCUUUUAUUUGAAGUCUCUUAUAACUAAUUUAAAAAUAGCCACUUCACCCAUUUUAUUUAGAAAUAUAUACACUUUGGAUAUUAACUUUCAACUUAGUUUGAUUAUGUUCAAAGUUCAUGGAUUGAAUGAUACCUUUUUUUAGAAAUUUAUUUUAAAAUAUUACAAAAGCAAUAUUUGUUUAUUGCAUGAUUUGGGGAAAUAUGGGGAAAAAAAACAAAAAAUUACAUAUGCACACAAACACAAUGGAAUCAUUUUAUAUUCUGUUUUGUGGUCUGCUCUGCUCUCUUCAAAAAUUGUGAGUCACUUUGCUUUUUAUUUCUUUUUUAAAAUUUCUUAUUUUAAUUUUUGUGGGUACAUAGUAGGUAUAUAUAUUUAUAAGGUACAUGAGAUGUUUUGACACAGUCAUGCAAUGUGUAAUUAUCACAUCACGUAAAGUGGAGUAUCCAUCCCCUCAAACAUUUAUCCUUUGUGUUACAGACAAUCCAAUUAUACUCUUUUAGUUAUUUCAAAAUGUAGUAUUAAAUUAUUAUUGACUGUAGUCACCCUGUUGCACUAUCAAAUACUAUGUCUUAUUCAUUCUUUCUAUUUUUUUGUACCCAUUAAUCAUCCCUACCUCUCCCUUAUCUCUCCACUACCCUUCCCAGCCUCUGAUAACCAUAUUUCUACCCUUAUCUCCAUUUUGAUUUUUAGAUUCCACAAACAAGUGAGAACAUGCAAUGUUUGUAAUUUCUGAGACUUGCUUUAUGGCUGAUUUCAAGAUCAUAUUGUUAGACACAUGUUUUUAUGUAAUAUAGUACAUUAAGCUUUGAAUAGAAUAAUUCAAAACUUUUAUGUAUUUAUUGAAUUUUUGUUUACUGAACUUACUAAAAUUAAGAUCAAUAUAUUGUAAUUUUUCAAUAAGAUGGUGACUAUGUCUGUAUUUCCAUCAAGUUUUUCUCUACAUAUUUUGGUACUGUUUUGUUAGGGAUAUAUACAUUUUUAAACCGAUAUACAUAUACACAACCAUUACCUAUAAUUACAAAAUAACAAAGGCUCUGAAAAUUGAAAGUUUUUUCAAAGGUUUGGCAUCAAGACUCAUUCAAACGAGACUGACCUGAAUAAUCUUCAGCCAUCAGUAUGUCUCAUCUCUUCUAUCAACACAUAGACUUCUGCUGUUUGUGUACAUUUUGUUGUUUUUAAAAAUUUAGUGAUGCUUCACUAUAAUUCCUCUGUAAAGACAUUUUGGAAGUUAAAUACUCUUAUGGGUAAGAGUAAGCAGAAGAUAGAGAAGUAAUUGUUACAUAUAGCAUGAAAAUUGUAGUUGCUGCAGAAUCUUCAUGAUGUUGUGUUUGUGGCAUCUUACAAAAAAAAUGGUAUGGAAAGUGUGAUGGUUAAUACUGAGGGUCAACUUGAUUGGAUUGAAGGAUUAACAUUUGAGUCAGUGGACUGGGAAAGGCAGACCCACCCUUAAUUUUGGAUAUGUGCAAUCUAAUCAGCUGCCAGCAUGGCUAGAAAAUCAGCAGGCAGAAAAAUGUGAAAAGAGAGACUGGCCCAGCCUCCCAGCCUACAUCUUUCUCCCGUGCUGGUUGCUUCCUGCCCUCAAACAUUGGAUUCUGAAUUAUUCAGUUUUGGAACUUGGACUGGCUCUCCUUGCUCCUCAGCCUGCAGAUGGCCUAUUGUGGGACCUUGUGAUCAUUUGAGUUAAUACUUAAUAAACUCCCCUUUAUAUAUAUCUAUUCCAUUAGUUCUGUCCCUCUAGAGAACCCUGGCUAAUACAGAAAGUACAUCAACCAUAUGUGAAUU
rnacentral:lncRNA from 10 species